CGGGGCAGGCUGUUCUGGGGCAGGCUGUUCCAGGGCAAGCUUCCUUGGUGGCCAUUGCAGUGAAAGGCCCCUGUGGCUCCCAGCACUUGGUGAGAUGAGGGGAGCGCCUGCAGCCGGACGUGCAGGUGGGACCAUCCAGACAGAGGGGAGCCUGCAGACCUGCGGUCCCGGCACUGGAGCAAAGGUCUGCCCUCCCAGGAAGAAGCCAGAUGAUCCAAAACAUCUUGAAAUGGUGGGGAAAUACUGUCUGUCCCCAAGACACACACUGCAUUUUCACCUUUGCCAUGUUGCUGCUGUUCAGUUUUUAAUUGCUCUGCACUGUGGCGAUCUCCAUAACAAAGCAUGAAAAAGAAAAAUCUGAAUUUGUCCUGCAGAUAUGAAAGCUGCUGGAUGUUGUCAAGGACGGAGCUGGGCUGAAAGCCAGAAUGAACCACUCGGGAGCCGGAGCCAAGGCAGCCGUUUCGGACGGUGCAACGUGCCCGGGAUGGGGCUGAAGGCCUUGAGUGGCGCAGAGGCUUAUGAGAGCAAAUCACGGCGAGGGGCUGGGAGGGUGGCUGGGGCCAGGAGCCCCCACUGCGCCGGGGUCCGGAAGGUGGGCUGGGCCCAGAGGCACACGGACCCUCCACUUCCCACCAGCCCGCUACAAAGGGUGGUUGCCAAACCAAGAUGCACUUAAGCUUAGUAGUUUUUAGACCAAAGAUACCAAAUUCCAUCCUGCCUUGCCUACAACAUAUCGGUUUAGGUGAGAUUUAAAUUGGAGCCAAAUGUUACACACAUUUGGCUGGAGCAAUUUCUUCAAGAAUGUUUUCCUAAAUUAGGGAUGAUAGUGAUAAUGCUCCUACUUGGCUGUUGCCUGCUACUGGCUGAGACUUCAUCUGCUAACAGCCAUGUUUCUAAAAACUCACAAUCUGCUUUUACAGCUACUUCUUGUACUAUGUGAAAACACUUUUUAACAACGUUGCAUUCAUGAGCUUUGCUAUUUCCACGGUAUAAUUGAUUUUGCGUGUUAAAUUACUGUGUUUCUGCUCCUUGACAGAGAGGUACAAUUCUAUUAAGGGAUCCCGGGCAGGUGGGUGUUUGGGUUUCCCACACACAGCCAGACCUUCCCCUUCCUCCCGAGAAAAUGCUUCUCCCCCCAUCUCGCACAGGGAGGAGGAAUCCGGCUUGUUCAGAGCUGUGCCAUGAGACUUCGUUCUCCAUCUCGGUGUGACAAGAGCGGACUGCUCGUGACAUGGAAGCAGACAGUCUGGUGGUUCCAGACCAUGGUUUCUGCUGCAAGUGGAGAAAAGCUGCGUGUGGGAGCAGGACCUUCAGCCAGCUGUGUCUGGGGUAAAGUGCUGGAGCACUUCUCGUGGAAAGAGGCUCCUAGAUCUAUGGCUCAAGAACUUCUCUGCAUCCCCAUCCCUUGUGUUCUAGCAAAAAACAGAGAGAUGGGUUCAGUGCAAGACUCCUGCAUCUGGAUUUUUGAAGCUGGUGCCGUGGUUCUGUGUUGCGGUGAAUUUAGGGGGCCCAGCUGGGAAGCAGUGACCCCUGGCAAGAUGCCACAGGCAGGUUCUGUUCCCAGCAGCAACAAAAAAAGUCUUUAUUUCUGUUGCUCUGCAGUACAACACCGACUGCAUCACUGGCAGGGGCAUUAAAUGCUCCUUUGUGAAUUAAAUACGAUUUUGUUUUCUGGUGUCAGUCUCUGGGUGCCCCAUCGCUGCUCCAUGUCGCCUGCCAGGAUGAGGGUGGGACGUGCUGCCACCUCUGCCUGCAGGGGAGAGAGAAACGGGCUCAGGAGUGGGAAGAGCAGAGUUUGUUCUGCAGGUGAGCGAAUGCGGUUUUGAAAGGAAGCGUUUGUUUUCAGUGUGACAUGUAGGUGUGAUUUUUCAGUAUUCGGAUGCUUUUCCGUGUAUGCAUUCUGCUCGUGUUCUGUUAAGGUGAAUGAGAGACAGGACAUGAAAGACAAACCAGGGAGAAACGGGCUGUUGUGUUCCCCAAAUCUGAGCCAGAAAGUCCAGGAGCGGCAGAAGGGACACGGUGGUACAUGACAGGUUAAACUUCCCAAACAGAGGCUUGAAUUAUUGCGUUUCUGGUUUGGAAAGCAACAGUAAGACCAGGAGAGAUGCCGAAAGCCUGCUCUGAGCCAAGAGAGUGUUUACAAAUCCCCCUGCAACAGCCAAAUCGAUAAAUCUAUACGUUCUGCUCUGACUUAUGAAAGUCACAAGAGCCAGAAAUACGUGCUGGUUGUUGGAGGUGUUUGUGAAGAGGCUGGUGGGUGUGGGGGUUUUUUGUUGUUUUUUGUGUGUAUGUGUUUGUUUUGUUUCUUUUUUUCCUCUCUUUGUAUUUUGUUUCACUAUAUGAGGAAGGUGUUUAUUUAAGAAGAAAUGAAAACCACAGAAAACCAUAUUUGGCAAAAGCCAGAAGGCUUCUACAGAAUUGCUUGUGUGAGAGUUGAGGUGUUGACAUGGCCUGUAAAACAAACGCGGGGAUGGUGAGGCACAGGCUGGCACCCAUGCUGUCCUCAAACGCCUCCUCAGCCGCUGGUCAGGAUGCUUGCUCCCCUCCUGUGCUCAUUUGCUGGCUCAUGACCUUUCUCACGGUCCCUGUGCUCCCCCCCGGCUCUCCUCUGGGCCAGCUCCUGCACCAGCAAGGGCACCUGUCCGAGGCAGCUUCUGCACUGGCGGAGAAGAGGGGCCACGGGAGGCACCGGGCCGUAAUUAAAUCAUAAAUUACAGAAGCUGGAUUUACAAAGCCAUUGCUCCGGGGCAACCGGUGAGCUAACACCAGUCCUGCACUGGUAAGUCUUCAGGUGAUCCCAUUAAUGACCGGACAAACAAACAAACCAACCCCAAAGGGAUCAAAAGCGUAUUGGAAAAUGUGUGGCAACCCUUGGCAGCCCGGCGGCACGUGCAGCAGCUCUGCAGGGCGCGGGUCAGGCCCUCGUCCCACCUGCCACCCCGGGAGCUGAAGGCAGCCCCAGGCUGAGCUGCCCCUCGAGCGCUUUGUGUCCGCGGAGCCUGGGCUGGGGGCACCGCUGCCGGCUCCGCCGAAGGAACGCGAGCGCGAUUCCCCGCUGCGGCUGCUCCCGCAGGGCAUCACAGAGGACACACAGAACCCGUCCCCAUCCCGCCUGGCCCCACGCGCAGCCAGCCCUGGGCACUGCCGCCCGGAGAAGCCGUGAGCUUUGCUGGCGCCUCCUCCAGACAUUGCCCUGCGGGAAGGUGGCAGAGCAGCAGGAGGCCUGGUGGAGCCAAGGAAACCACCGGUCUGGCAAAAGAAGGGACAACAAUGGAUGGGUGUGCUGGCAUUUCCCUGAAAAUCCUUUCAUUUUCACAGAGGGGGUCUGCCACUUGCUUCCCCUGCAGCAGGUUGAGGACUAGUAUGUACCUGUCUGAAAGUGGGACCUCGAUAAAUAACGCUGGUUUCUGUCUUUAAUUGAUGUGGUCUUUGUGCAGAAUUUCUGUUAUGUGAAACCUAGAAAACUGGAUUCAGAAAAUACUUCAAUGUUUAAUUAUAAUGCCAUUCUUUAGGAAAGAGGCAACUCUAAAACUCCUACCUACUAUCCUGAUGAGGACUUCUUGCUACUUGCCUCUGGCUUGUUUGCAGCUCUCGAAGGCUGAGCACGCGUACUGGAGAGCAGGGAUCAUUCUUGUAAUAGCGUGUUCAGCUCUUAACUGCAUUGCUCUUUUUUAAAAACAAUCUAUGUUCUGAUUUGGGAAAGGAAGUCUGGUAUGAAAACUGCUAGAUCACAUGCAUCUGCUGUUCUUGGGAACGAUCUAUAUCUGUCAGCAUCACCCUGGUGGAAUCAAUUGUACCAGCAAGUAUUGACAGCUGCAGGCGGGAGAGCAGAUCCAGCACCGCGCAGAUGUACCUUGAUGUCGUCUACAAUGUGUGGGUUUUCAGCAGCAUUGUGGCCUCUUUGACAGCUGAAGUGCUCCAGCAACGCAAAACAGCGGCAAAGGGCAGCCCCUGCUGCCGAGGUUUCCAGUCCCAGACAAGUCAGGCAGGAGGGAUCUCCACAAGCGUCUGGUUUGGGACGCGGUUGACUUUGGACGCUCCUUCCCUGCAGCCAUGAUGACAGCCGCGUUUUUACCACUGGGGUAUCUUUAAAAAUGUUUACGUAGUUCUCUGUGCACAGAUCCAGACAGCCCUGGACGUCUGGGUCACUUCGCAGGAAGAGUAACAAGUGGAGAAUCAGUUUGGACUUUGCACCAUGUAGUCUGCAAACUGCUCCUGACCCUGGGGAGCAGAACAUUCCAUGUCCUUCUGCUUUGUGCCUCCACUUGUUAAGACUUUGGUUCAUCUUUCUGGAACUUAUCAGCUGGCUAAACCUCUUUGUGAGACUUUCUGGGGGUUGGGUGUAUAAUCUGUUUAGAAGAUGAUGACAUUUUGGAGUGGAUUCUUGAACAAGUGUGAGACAACAGACACAAGUGCUUUUCCCCUCAAAUGAUUCCAGCUUAGUGGCCAAAGCAGAGGACUGGUUAUUGUUGGCAUGAUGAGACGUGUUCUCAAAGAUUCAGCAUUCUGCAGCCAUUGUUAUGCUUUAGAAACAGAAGAUGGCAAACGUGGGCGAUGCAGCGUCUGUAGGCUGUUCCUUGUUCCAGGCUCUGGAAGAGUCUUGCUGCGGCUCCACGGUUUGUGCGGCUGAGCUCGCCCAGGGCCACGGUGAAAGUCCAACCGAACCAAAGCAACACCUUCAGUGCCUUCAGCUGAGCAGUUCUGCAGGCGUCCCAUCGCGGAUCUGCUGCCCAGACACAUCGUGAAAACUGCUCAUCAUCUCAUGACAGCCUGGUGAUGCCAGAUCCGCUUCAUAAUCAAAAAUAGCACAGAGACAGGCUUUUCCUUGCACUGUUCUUCGGUUAUCGCCUUCCAUGCAGCAACUGGUGGCACUUUUAGAGAUGAUAAUCAAAGAUGGUUUCAUUGCCCUGCCAGGGGUGGAUUAUUCAGCCUUCCUCUUUUGAGCUAAAGCAGAGCUUACAAGGUGGCUGUUCCACAAAAGGGUGUUUGGCAAUAAUUAGGCUUUGGUUGUGCAUAGAUUAAAGUGUUACGGAACACUAUGAGUAGUUGGUGGUCACUCUGAUCAGAGGUUUGCCUCAAAUAUCAGCAUUAGGAGAGCUGUGAUGCUUUAUUAGCCUGGCUUUGGCACAAAGUGCGACAACCAGAAUUGUGCUUGAAAACACAGCAACACACAUCUGCAAGAAAACUUCACAGCAGGACACCUUGUGCCACCACGACGACUGAAGGGCAGCUGGAGACCGCGAGGAGUGCGGCUCCGGGGCGUUUGCAGGGUCCCUGAAGGAUGCUCUGCGGUCCUGCCCGGGCUGCCAGCACCGCUUGUCUCAGUGCUGCAGACGUCGCAAUCAGGUGUGUCCAUGAGGUACAGGUGCUGUGUCCAUGUUCUGGCAGGGAACGUCGGCCCGACAAGAGUCCUGGAGUGAUAUCAGACAUUCGCCGCUGAAAUAAUGAUUCCGCUGCCUCGCUGAGCUGGUCCAGUCAGACGUCAGAGAUGACUCCUGUCAGAAGAGGAGUGAUUAAAGUGAUUUUUAAAGACAUCUAAAAUAAACCGAAUGGGUAAGAAACCAAUCACCAACAUCAUGCAAAAAGCGUGAAAGCCUCCGCACAGCAGAGCUCAGGGAGCUGAAGGGAGCAGAUUCAGCAGAGAUAUAUCGAACCUGCCAGAGACAAGAGCACGGUGAGAUUGAUGCUGCGGAGCGGAAAAUGCUCCGAGGAAAUGGGGCAUAGUAAGCACAGGAAGCAGCACCUGUGGCACCUGGAACCACUAAUUACUGUGCAAAUUGGACUAAUUUUUCACUUUAUGCCAACUAAAAUCUUAAUCUUUGUGCACUGAAUUGAAAGAAAACUCCAUCACUGUGUAACUCUUGUGAGGAAAACCAGGUUCAUCUUUGAACAGCUACACGCCGCGCAAGUGAAAAAUAAGCUGUCUUGAUAUAAAAUGCCAGCUAUGUAGAAGAAUCACUUUCAAAGUGGUGGGUUGGUAACUGACUUGGCGUUUGCCCUUAAACUGUUCCUUUUUUACCCCAUCUUUGUUUUGACGACCAGAAAGCUGUGAGCCUUGGAGGUUAAGUGCAGUCACUCAUCCAUCUUGCUUCUGUUUUUCAGGGUAGCACAAGGGUGGCGUCACCCCAUGUUCUGCCGGCUCGGCCCCAGGGUCCUGCAGAAACACGGCUUGCUCAGGGCUGUUGAAGAAAGUUCACUGUUUAGAGAAUUUCCUCUAGAUUUUUAGCAUUUCCAUACUGUUGUGGGACAGAGGGCCUAAGAAACUCGUCUUUUCUGGCAGCAGAUGUAUAACGUGCAACUUAUGCAAAAAUGCUGCCGUGAAGUCAAUGUCAGGAUGCUCGUGUGCUGGUGGAGGGCGCAGGGCUGCCCUUAGCUCGCUCUGCUGAAUUACUGAGGGGACUGAGGAGGAGAAGUAAUUUCUUAUUACUAAAAAGUAACUGCUUUUAUCUCACUUGGACUAGAGAAAAAUUAAAACCAAGUGAUUCAGAAAGAGCUUCAAAAUGCAGAGGGCUCUGAAAAAUCUGCAUUUCAGAGGAAGGGUGAAUCAGCGCCCGCUGCAGGUAUCUGGAGGCUGCGUGGAACCCGGGUGCACAGCAGCACAGGCAGCGACCGCGACCGGCUGCCACGUCUGUAGGCAAAACACAAGGCUGGGAGAGGGCUAGAUAAGCUGCAAGCACUCUUCAUCCUGCCUUUUCCCAGAGAUACGAGUGAAUUCUUAUCGUCUGAGCUUUUUAACAUGAGGCUGCAUGUCAUUUGGAGAAACAGCGUGCCCUGUCUCAGCUUCUCUGCAGUGGGUGCUGGAGGCUCUGGAGGAAAUUUUCUGGCCUGUCUUCAACCAGAUGAACUGGAAAAAAAGAUGAAAAAGCCAGUGUCCGCUUCAGUGGGGACAAAUGGAAAGUUCCGUAUUUCCUGGGAGCAGAGCAGAACAGGAAGGAGUUGCCUGCAGAGCGAAGCUGGGGAUGACGGGCUCAGCAGCAGCCGCUCGGAGCAGGACCUGGAGCCCGGUGAACGGCAAGAUGUCCAGGAUGCAGCAAAACCCCCGGGUGUGAGAAAGCCGGUGUGCGGGCACCGGUGAGGAGCAGCCCAGCCUGCGAGCGGGAGACGGCCCUUCCAGCCCUCGCUGCUGGCCAGGCCACGCUGGAGCGCGUCCCGGCUGGGGACAUGGCUGGGGACACCCAGCGCAGGAGCAGCAGUCGCUGCUGGGGCAGCAGCUCAGCCUGAAGGAAACACUGGUGUGAAAUAUUUAGUCACUGGGGAAGGAAAAAGAUGUCAUCCGCUGAAAUACGUCUAAUGUUCUUUGGAAACCCAUGGUGUACACCAGACAAGUCUCUGUUGCUACUGCUUUGUGUCCACUUUGGAAUAUUUUAAUAUGUAAUUAUGGAACAAAUGAUAUGAACUAUGUAGUGCCAGUGGUGGGCUAUGCAGUGCCAGUGGUGAGCUAUGCAGUUAUCAGCACAGUGGACAAAGGCAAAGCUCUAUGGCAAGCUGAUACCUAAUCUUCAGGGCUCAUUUUGAGGGAAAGGUCAUUGUGGUGAACAACAUCAACAGUUAAUCCAACCCUAGGCUGCUUGGGACCUGUGAAGAAAUUCUGCGUCUCUGGCUGAAAAUCCAGUAACCUGCUUCUCAGAAGUACAUUGCUUCAAUGUGUUUCUACAUGACUCUAAGUGGCACUGCUUUUGCUGUUUAAUAAAUCUCUCUAGAAAAUGUCGCUCACUAUAAAAUUAUAUAUUUUGAAUAAAAGCUAAAGUCUCAGCAUGCAGAAUAUAUUAUUCUUGUGACUGGGCCCAUGGCCUUUUAUCUCAAAUAGGAAAUAAAAUAACUGCUGAAUAGAAA